ACCUAGCGGCGAACGGGUGCGUAACACGUGAGCAACCUGCCCCGAAGUCUGGGAUAACCCCGGGAAACCGGAGCUAAUACCGGAUGUCCCCACCGGACCGCAUGGUCUGGUGAGGAAAGAUUUAUCGCUUCGGGAGGGACUCGCGGCCUAUCAGCUUGUUGGCGGGGUAACGGCCCACCAAGGCGUCGACGGGUAGCUGGUCUGAGAGGACGACCAGCCACACUGGGACUGAGACACGGCCCAG
rnacentral:rRNA from 1 species